rnacentral:rRNA from 1 species
GGAGGAAUAUUGGGCAAUGGACGAAAGUCUGACCCAGCAACGCCGCGUGAAGGAUGAAGGCCUUCGGGUCGUAAACUUCUUUUGAGGGAGACGAGAAAAGGACGGUAUCCCUCGAAUAAGCCACGGCUAACUACGUGCCAGCAGCCGUGGUAAAACGUAGGUGGCGAGCGUUAUCCGGAUUCAUUGGGCGUAAAGAGCUUGUAGGUGGUGCGAUAAGUUGGACGUGAAAACUCCGGGCUUAACUUGGAGAGGCCGUUCAAUACUGUUGUGCUAGAGGGCGUCAGAGGGAAGUGGAAUUCCUGGUGUAGCAGUGAAAUGCGUAGAUAUCAGGAGGAACAUCCGUGGCGAAGGCGGCUUCCUGGGGCGCACCUGACACUGAGAAGCGAAAGCUAGGGGAGCAAACGGGAUUAGAAAACCCCGGUAGUCCUAGCUGUAAACGAUGGAUGCUAGGUGUGAGUGGAUCUAACCCCGCUCGUGCCGAAGCUAACGCGUUAAGCAUCCCGCCUGGGAACUACGAGCGCAAGCUUAAAACUCAAAGGAA